rnacentral:rRNA from 1 species
AACGCGAAGAACCUUACCUGGGCUCGAAAUGUAGAGGACGACAUCAGAGAUGGUGUCUCCCGAAAGGGCCUUUAUAUAGGUGCUGCAUGGCUGUCGUCAGCUCGUGCCGUGAGGUGUUUGGUUAAGUCCAGCAACGAGCGCAACCCUUAUCGUUAGUUGCCAACGCGUAAAGGCGGGAACUCUAACGAGACUGCCUGGGUUAACCAGGAGGAAGGUGAGGAUGACGUCAAGUCCGCAUGGCCUUUAUGUCCAGGGCUACACACGUGCUACAAUGGCCGGUACAGAAGGCAGCGAAACCGCAAGGUGAAGCAAAUCCCGAAAAACCGGUCUCAGUUCAGAUUGUAGUCUGCAACUCGGCUACAUGAAGUUGGAAUUGCUAGUAAUGGCGUGUCAGCAACAACGCCGUGAAUACGUUCCCGGGCCUUGUACACACCGACAUA